UACGAAGGGGGCUAGCGUUGCUCGGAAUUACUGGGCGUAAAGCGCACGUAGGCGGCUUGUUAAGUCGGGGGUGAAAUCCUGGAGCUCAACUCCAGAACUGCCUUCGAUACUGGCGAGCUCGAGUUCGGGAGAGGAUGGUGGAAUUCCCAGUGUAGAGGUGAAAUUCGUAGAUAUUGGGAAGAACACCGAUGGCGAAGGCAGCCAUCUGGACCGACACU
rnacentral:rRNA from 1 species